rnacentral:rRNA from 1 species
UGAGCGGAGAUAUAUGGAGCUUGCUUUAUAUAACUCAGCAGCGAACGGGUGAGUAACACGUAGAUAAUCUAUCCUAUACUGGGGGAUAGCCCGAUGAAAGUUGGAUUAAUACCGCAUAUAGCUAUAUAGUUGCAUGAUUAUGUAGUGAAAGAUUUAUUGGUAUAGGAGGAGUCUGCGGCACAUUAGCUAGUAGGUGAGGUAAAGGCUUACCUAGGCGACGAUGUGUAGCCGGUCUGAGAGGAUGAACGGCCACAAUGGAACUGAGACACGGUCCAUACUCCUACGGGAGGCAGCAGUGGGGAAUAUUGCACAAUGGGGGAAACCCUGAUGCAGCAACGCCGCGUGAGUGAAGAAGGUUUUCGGAUUGUAAAGCUCUGUUAGCAGGGAAGAGGAAGGACGGUACCUGCAGAGGAAGCCACGGCUAACUACGUGCCAGCAGCCGCGGUAAUACGUAGGUGGCAAGCGUUGUUCGGAAUAACUGGGCGUAAAGGAUGCGUAGGCGGUUAAACAAGUUAUAUGUUAAAUAUAUAGGCUUAACCUGUAGAAAGCAUAUAAAACUGUUUAACUAGAGUGCAGGAGAGGUAAGUGGAAUUCCUAGUGUAGCGGUGAAAUGCGUAGAGGUUAGGAAGAACACCAGUGGCGAAGGCGACUUACUGGACUGUAACUGACGCUGAGGCAUGAGAGCAUGGGGAGCAAACAGGAUUAGAUACCCUGGUAGUCCAUGCUGUAAACGAUGGGUACUAGGUGUGGGUUGUGAAUAACAAUUCGUGCCGUCGCAAACGCAAUAAGUACCC